rnacentral:rRNA from 1 species
CCUACGGGGGGCUGCAGUAGGGAAUAUUGCUCAAUGGGGGAAACCCUGAAGCAGCAACGCCGCGUGGAGGAUGAAGGUUUUCGGAUUGUAAACUCCUUUUGUUAGAGAAGAUAAUGACGGUAUCUAACGAAUAAGCACCGGCUAACUCCGUGCCAGCAGCCGCGGUAAUACGGAGGGUGCAAGCGUUACUCGGAAUCACUGGGCGUAAAGAGCGCGUAGGCGGGUUAGCAAGUCAGAGGUGAAAUGCUGGGGCUUAACCAUAGAACUGCAUUGGAAACUGGUAAACUAGAGUAUGGGAGAGGUAGGUGGAAUUCUUUGUGAAGCGGUAAAAUCCGUAGAUAUCAGGAGGAAUACUCAUGGCGAAGGCGACCUGCUAGAACAUAACUGACGCUGAUGCGCGAAAGCGUGGGGAGCAAACAGGAUUAGAUACCCCAGUAGUC